AACGCGUCUGCUGGAGUGGAGCGCCUUCUGCUGGGGAACAAAUGUGACAUGGAAGCCAAGCGGAAGGUGCAGAGAGAGCAGGCUGAGAGGGUGAGUCAGGCCGGGCUGCUGUGGCCGAAUGCCUUGCUUCUGCCCUUUAUCCAGCUCUCUCCUUCCUACCUCAUCCCCUACAGUUGGCCCGAGAGCACAGAAUCCGAUUUUUUGAGACAAGUGCCAAAUCCAGUGUGAAUGUGGAUGAGGCUUUCAGUUCCCUGGCCCGUGACAUCUUGCUCAAGACAGGAGGCCGGAGAUCGGGAAACAGCAGCAAGCCCUCAAGCACUGACCUGAAAGUAUCUGACAAGAAGAACAGCAACAAGUGCUCCUUGGGCUGAGGAACAUUUCUUGCCUCCUAUUCACCCUGAACCUGGAGGCUAGACCUGAGGGAGGUGGACUGAGGUAGACUGAUGGAAAACAGAGGGGAGGAGCUGUGGUGGUGCCUGGAGGGGUGGAUGACAGGGGAGGAAGGAAAGAUGAAAUGGGCAGGGAAAGGAGGGCGAGGAACCAAGGACGUGAAAAGUGAAGAGAAGGGGUUUGAGAAGAGAAAAAGAAGAAGGUCUCAGGUCUCGGACCGUCCAACAUUAAUGUCAGUAUGCUGAUCUCUCCAUUCCUGGUUCAGGGUUCGGGUCCCGAGAGGCUGGCUCGGCCCUACUCUGAGGGUCUCUCACUCCACAGAUCUUUGUUAGUAUUAAAGGCCACUGUUUGGCACG
rnacentral:lncRNA from 1 species